ACUACGAGAGUACGAGUAUCCUCUAAACCGCAGAAACAAGGGUAAAGAACAAACAGAUUAAAGCAAAAUUCCCAAUUCAUAUGCAAUGUUCAUUGGUCUGGAAGUGACGAAGAUUACAUCAAAGAAUCACCAGGAAAGUCAAAUGUAUUUUUUUAAAAAAGAGAUUGGCUGAGGAGUGGAAGAUUGUUAUUCGAUGGUUAUGACUUGUGAGUUACGGAAGCAGAGAGAUCCAUCACAAAAUUAUACCAACAAUGCGGGGAUUUCCUUGUACUACCCACUUGGAGCAGUAUAAUCACCCUUUAUAUGGAUGGAUGGCAGCAUCCCUUGGAAUUCUUGGUCCAUGCUUAAGACAGGAUCGAGGCUUGGGAAAGGAAAUGAUGGAAUAUUAUGAAGGUCGUUGUGAAGGUGGGGAUUUAUUUGAAUGUAUAGUGAUAUGCGGUUGUGCUCACCGAAAUAAUUAUUGGUGUAGCCUGUAGCCCUAUACGCCUGUUUUAGUUGGUGUUAUUCUGCGCACUUAAACUGUAGUUGAUACCUUGAUGCGAGGAUUAAUAAGAUUAGUAUUUUGAUAUAUAUGUGCAAGGCAUAAUUCUGUUGAGGAUUCCAUAAAAAAUUGGACACUUGAUAGCUCAUACAAGGAUGGUCACCAAAGAUGGUAAAAGUCUAAUAUAUUCUAUGGAACUUUUGGAAGCAUGCUCCUGACCGCAGGAAUUUCCAGCAAGUAAAUUUACAAAGUAUUUUGAAUGCUUCACCAGAUCAACUCAUGCCAAAAGUAGUAAAGUGGGACUCAGUAAGUUGACAUUAUUCACAACAUCGCAUCAGCUGCUGCUGUAAGAAUAGAUCUUCGGAAGAGAGACGUUGAUAUUGCAUGUAUCACAGUACUAGGACUGAUGAUUUACUUACUUGGUGCCUUUAGACAGCUGAACAAACUUUCUUGUCAGGCUUCCAGCUUUCCAACUAAAAAAUAUCUGAGGAUGCUGAAGGUAUCUUAAAUUAAGAGUCGACUUUGGCAUUUCACCGGCUGCUAUUUCCAGCCGCAAAAACUGCCCAUAUGGUAAAAGGAGCUGCAGGUGAAUUCAAGUUGACAAGAAAGUAGAAUGAAUCACUUGUCAUGUGACCAUGAUUUGCUGAUGUGUUGUUGAGGAGUUGCUAACUUUCCCUGAUAUUUGGAGUGCUUACAUCUUCAGCAACAUAGCUGGUUUUGUGCACUUCUCUGCUUUAACAUCAUGUGUGUGCACGUUCUCGAAAGUAGUUUCAUUGCACGAGCUGAUAGUAGCUUUGCUACUUCAUUGAGUAUCUUGUUUUAGACCCAGUCCUCAGAGUUGUUCAUUUAUUCUUGUUACCGGGUUCAAGUAAAGUUGGAUGAAUCUUGUGGUCCAUUUGGUAGUCAGUAGUAAAUUGUGUUACAGAGUACUUGUUUUGAACUUGUGUAUUUUUGAGGGAGUCAUCGUGUCAUUGGAAAUGCAUGUUAUGAAAUUUGUUGAUUUUUUUUUUUUUUUUUUUGAAAGAAUUAUGAUAUUUGUUGAAUAAUUAUGAAAUUUCUUCCGAAUUCUUUAAAAUCUCUACACAAUUGUGCAUUUGUGCUUGCUUGAGCAUGGAAAGGUCAGUUUAGAAUAUUCCAAAAAAAAUCUGGCUUCCAAAUAGAAUAUUCAAAAUUAAGAGGCAAAAAAAAAAAAAAAAAAAAAAA